AAGCACCCCGGAAGGGGAGUGAAAUAGAACCUGAAACCGUGUGCUUACAAGUAGUCAGAGCCCGUUAAUGGGUGAUGGCGUGCCUUUUGUAGAAUGAACCGGCGAGUUACGAUUUGAUGCAAGGUUAAGCAGUAAAUGUGGAGCCGUAGCGAAAGCGAGUCUGAAUAGGGCGUUUAGUAUUUGGUCGUAGACCCGAAACCAGGUGAUCUACCCUUGGUCAGGUUGAAGUUCAGGUAACACUGAAUGGAGGACCGAACCGACUUACGUUGAAAAGUGAGCGGAUGAACUGAGGGUAGCGGAGAAAUUCCAAUCGAACCUGGAGAUAGCUGGUUCUCUCCGAAAUAGCUUUAGGGCUAGCCUCAAGUGAUGAUUAUUGGAGGUAGAGCACUGUUUGGACGAGGGGCCCCUCUCGGGUUACCGAAUUCAGACAAACUCCGAAUGCCAAUUAAUUUAACUUGGGAGUCAGAACAUGGGUGAUAAGGUCCGUGUUCGAAAGGGAAACAGCCCAGACCACCAGCUAAGGUCCCAA
rnacentral:rRNA from 1 species